GCAGUCGAACGGUGAAGCCCAGCUUGCUGGGUGGAUCAGUGGCGAACGGGUGAGUAACACGUGAGCAACCUGCCCCUGACUCUGGGAUAAGCGCUGGAAACGGCGUCUAAUACUGGAUACGAGACGUGAUCGCAUGGUCAACGUUUGGAAAGAUUUUUCGGUUGGGGAUGGGCUCGCGGCCUAUCAGCUUGUUGGUGAGGUAAUGGCUCACCAAGGCGUCGACGGGUAGCCGGCCUGAGAGGGUGACCGGCCACACUGGGACUGAGACACGGCCCAGACUCCUACGGGAGGCAGCAGUGGGGAAUAUUGCACAAUGGGSSCAAGCCUGAUGCAGCAACGCCGCSUGAGGGAUGACGGCCUUCGGGUUGUAAACCUCUUUUAGCAGGGAAGAAGCGAGAGUGACGGUACCUGCAGAAAAAGCACCGGCUAACUACGUGCCAGCAGCCGCGGUAAUACGUAGGGUGCAAGCGUUAUCCGGAAUUAUUGGGCGUAAAGAGCUCGUARGCGGUUUGUCGCGUCUGCUGUGAAAUCUGGGGGCUCAACCCCCAGCCUGCAGUGGGUACSGGCAGACUAGAGUGCGGUAGGGGAGAUUGGAAUUCCUGGUGUAGCGGUGGAAUGCGCAGAUAUCAGGAGGAACACCGAUGGCGAAAGCAGAUCUCUGGGCCGUAACUGACGCUGAGAAGCCAAAGGUUGGGGAGCAAACAAGGCUUAGAUACCCUGGUAGUCCACCCCCGUAAACGUUGGGAACUAGUUGUGGGGGUCCAUU
rnacentral:rRNA from 1 species